UACGUAGGGUGCAAGCGUUGUCCGGAAUUAUUGGGCGUAAAGAGCUCGUAGGCGGUUUGUCACGUCGGAUGUGAAAAUCCGGGGCUUAACCCCGGACCUGCAUUCGAUACGGGCUGACUAGAGUUCGGCAGGGGAGACUGGAAUUCCUGGUGUAGCGGUGAAAUGCGCAGAUAUCAGGAGGAACACCGGUGGCGAAGGCGGGGUCUCUGGGCCGAUACUGACGUGAGGAGCGAAAGCGUGGGGGAGCGAACAGG
rnacentral:rRNA from 1 species